rnacentral:rRNA from 1 species
AGUGAACGCUGGCGGUAGGCCUAACACAUGCAAGUCGAACGGCAGCACAGUAAGAGCUUGCUCUUACGGGUGGCGAGUGGCGGACGGGUGAGGAAUACAUCGGAAUCUACUUUUUCGUGGGGGAUAACGUAGGGAAACUUACGCUAAUACCGCAUACGACCUACGGGUGAAAGCAGGGGAUCUUCGGACCUUGCGCGAUUGAAUGAGCCGAUGUCGGAUUAGCUAGUUGGCGGGGUAAAGGCCCACCAAGGCGACGAUCCGUAGCUGGUCUGAGAGGAUGAUCAGCCACACUGGAACUGGGACACGGUCCAGACUCCUACGGGAGGCAGCAGUGGGGAAUAUUGGACAAUGGGCGCAAGCCUGAUCCAGCCAUACCGCGUGGGUGAAGGAGGCCUUCGGGUUGUAAAGCCCUUUUGUUGGGAAAGAAAAGCAGCAGGUUAAUACCCCGCUGUUCUGACGGUACCCAAAGAAUAAGCACCGGCUAACUUCGUG